UGGCAUGUGGAAAUGUCUGCUCCUCAUUCCUUUGGGAGCAGGAAGAUGUCCGUUACAUGCUACAUUGAGAAAGGAGUUCUCAGGGCUGCCAGCCUUACAGUAGAGGCUGAGCAGUAGUAUACUUCUCCUACAUGU
ensembl:snoRNA small Cajal body-specific RNA 18